AACGUAGGAGGCGAGCGUUAUCCGGAUUUACUGGGCGUAAAGCGCGUGCAGGCGGCCGUGCAAGUUGGGCGUGAAAUCUCCCGGCUUAACUGGGAGGGGCCGUCCAAUACUGCAGGGCUUGAGGGUAGGAGAGGGAAGUGGAAUUCCCGGUGUAGCGGUAAUAUGCGCAGAUAUCGGGAGGAACACCAGUGGCGAAGGCGGCUUCCUGGCCUACUCCUGACGCUAAGACGCGAAAGCUAGGGGAGCGAACGGGAUUAGAUACCCCCGUAGUCC
rnacentral:rRNA from 1 species